rnacentral:misc_RNA from 1 species
UACGUAGGUGGCAAGCGUUGUCCGGAAUUAUUGGGCGUAAAGCGCGCGCAGGCGGCCUCUUAAGUCUGAUGUGAGAGCCCCCGGCUCAACCGGGGAGGGCCAUUGGAAACUGGGAGGCUUGAGUAUAGGAGAGAAGAGUGGAAUUCCACGUGUAGCGGUGAAAUGCGUAGAGAUGUGGAGGAACACCAGUGGCGCCGGCGACUCUUUGGCCUAUAACUGACUCUGAGGCGCGAAAGCUUGAAGAUCAAACAGG